CCCUUAGAUGUUCUGGGCCGCACGCGCGCUACACUGACGAAGUCAGCGAGCAUCUCCUUCGCCGAAAGGUGCGGGGAAUCUUGUGAAACUUUGUCGUGCUGGGGAUUGAUUUUUGAAAUUCUUGAUCAUCAACGAGGAAUUCCUAGUAAGCGCAAGUCAGCAGCUUGCGUUGAUUACGUCCCUGCCCUUUGUACACACCGCCCGUCGCUACUACUGAUUGGGUGUUCAAGUGAGAUGCUUAGACCCUUGUUGCAUGGUUCAUUAUUGUGCUCCGAAAGGAAAAAGUUUCAAGCUUGAGUGUCUAGAGGAAGUAAAAGUCGUAACA
rnacentral:rRNA from 1 species